CUGUCGACAGCUCGUGUCGUGAGAUGUUGGGUUAAGUCCCGCAACGAGCGCAACCCUCAUCCUUAGUUACCAUCAGGUUAUGCUGGGGACUUUAAGGAAACUGCCAGUGAUAAACUGGAGGAAGGUGGGGAUGAUGUCAAGUCAUCAUGGCCCUUAUGGAGUGGGCUACACACGUGCUACAAUGGUGAUUACAAUGGGCUGCAAGGUCGCAAGGCUGAGCUAAUCCUAAAAAAUCAUCUCAGUUCGGAUUGUUCUCUGCAACUCGAGAGCAUGAAGUCGGAAUCGCUAGUAAUCGUGGAUCAGCAUGCCA
rnacentral:rRNA from 1 species